rnacentral:lncRNA from 1 species
UCCUUCUGUGAAAAGAAGAUAAGAGAGGGGAUGAGUCAAGUAACAUAAUAAACGUUCUGAGAAGUUGGAUACCUCUC